rnacentral:rRNA from 1 species
AUACGGAGGAUCCGAGCGUUAUCCGGAUUUAUUGGGUUUAAAGGGAGCGUAGGUUGACGUAUAAGUCAGCUGUGAAAGUUUACGGCUCAACCGUGAAAUUGCAGUUGAUACUGUAUGUCUUGAGUGUACAAGAGGUGGGCGGAAUUCGUGGUGUAGCGGUGAAAUGCUUAGAUAUCACGAAGAGCUCCAAUUGCGAAGGCAGCUCACUGGGGUACAACUGACGCUCAGGCACGAAGGCGUGGGUAUC